rnacentral:rRNA from 1 species
CGCGUAGGUGGUAGUGCAAGUCUGAGGUGGAAUCCUAUGGCUUAACCAUAGAACUGCCUUGGAAACUGCAUUACUUGAGUCAGUGAGGGGAGGGUAGAAUUCCUGGUGUAGCGGUGAAAUGCGUAGAUAUCAGGAGGAAGGCCGGUGGCGAAGGCGGCCCUCUGGCGCUGAACUGACACUGAGGCGCGAAAGCGUGGGGGGCAAACAGGAUUAGAUACCCUGGUAGUCCACGCCCUAAACGGUGGGUACUAGGUGUAGGGCUCGUAAGGGUUCUGUGCCGAAGCGAAAGCAUUAAGUACCCCGCCUGGGGAGUACGGCCGCAAGGUUGAA